CAGACAAACUCGUCUUCCUCCCAGCUAUUCCCUUCUCCAAGUCUUAUUCUCCUCUGAGCUCUUCCUCUUGGAUCCCCUUCCCAGUUGUUGCUAACAGAGCCUUCCUCGAGCAUCCGAUUCUAGCUGUAUCUCAGCCAACGCCAGGUGUUUCCUUCGUAGUGCACGGAGCAGAGCAACAACUGCCGCGCAGAGCAAGAUGGAUAUCGAGCUAGUGAUUCCAAGAGCAACUUUCAGUCCUGUUCUGGGAUUCGAUGAAGCCAAAGCACCUACAGACGUUCAUGCAUAUAUAACGACAUCAAAUGAUUCAUCAAUGGUGCAUGUGUAGUGUAUGUAGUAGGUUGUCAGUGGCAGGGAUCAGUUGCCUACUA